AAGCAGAACUCUCUUCAAACAGUCUUCUGACUGAGGAUAGCUUAGGAACCUGGGUAAUACUGGCUUACCAGGGAGCUGUCCAGGAAAGUAGGGAUGGUCCCUUCUGAGAUGUUUGCCAUUCCCCCAAUCCACCUGCAGUCUCAGCUGCCUCGUAUCUGAUGAUGAUUCCAGGAAGGUCAAUCUCUCAUUUUACAAUAGUCUACAUGGCAAAUUAGAUAAGCUCUCCAAUGAUUAACAUUGUAUUUAAAAUUCACACAACAAUAAAAAGCAGCAGAAAAAAACAGCAGAGGUAAAAAAAGAAGAAGAAAAUAUUUACUUGAUUGUAAUGUGCUUUUAAAACAAUGUGUGUUUAUGAUGUGAGCACUAUCUACUAGAUUUUUCUGUUUUACAUAAAAGAAACAAAAAUCUUAUUCUCUUUUGCAUCUAGCCAAAACUACAUUCCUCAAUUAAAUAUUACUUUGGAUGA